ACAAACCCACAGGUUUCUCCUUAAUAAAAUUAUUUGUUUAGAGCAUUGCAAAUAAACCGCCGCGAGAUAAAUUUAUUUUACUAAGUAAUUUGGUAAAUAAAAGUUUAUGUCUACAGAAAUAACUUUGUGUAGAAUAAAAAUAAGAAACUAGUAGUGGUGGCGGUCAUGAUAAGCAUGUCUUUAGAUUUUAGAUAACCCCAUAGAUAAAAACCCAAUGGGGACCUUGCUGGCCAUUCAAUAAAACCUCCACCUUCCAAUCCAUCUAUUUGGGAAAAUGUUGGUUAGCUAAUCUCAUACUACUCGCGAAGUGUGGAGGGCGCCAUCCUGUUGGAACCAUAUCAAAUAUGCCGGUAUAAAUGGGUUUUCACCAUUUGGAUAAAGUGCAAUUAAACUAGGUACUAUCUGAUUUUGAAGCAACUCUAAAUAUGUUUCAGAGCUGACCAGAUGUUAGUGGGAGCAACUUUUUAGGUGGAAAAACAGGAACAUUUUCAGAGCCAAACUCCCUCUUCAUUUGCUCAUUUAAAUUGUGGAGUUGCUUGUAGCGGACAGUGCAAUGGAAAACACCAUUAAUAUGUAUAUUAUAA